CCUACGGGAGGCAGCAGUGAGGAAUAUUGGUCAAUGGCCGAAAGCCUGAACCAGCCACGCCGCGUGAAGGAAGAAGGUUCUCUGGUUUGUAAACUUCGUUUAUAGGGGAAUAAAGGUAUCCACGUGUGGAUAUUUGCAUGUACCCUAUGUAUAAGCAUCGGCUAACCCCGUGCCCGCAGCCGCGGUAAUACGGUGGAUGCGAGCGUUAUCCGGAUUUAUUGGGUUUAAAGGGUGCGUAGGUUGUUUUGUAAGUCAGCGGUGAAAGUUUGUGGCUCAACCAUAACAUUGCCGUUGAAACUGGAAGACUUGAGUGUGUUAGAGGUAGGCGGAAUGCGUGGUGUAGCGGUGAAAUGCGUAGAUAUCACGAAGAACACCGAGUGCGAAGGCAGCUUACUAGGCCAUAACUGACACUGAAGCACGAAAGCGUGGGGAUCAAACAGGAUUAGAUACCCGAGUAGUC
rnacentral:rRNA from 1 species